AAUGAAAAAAAGAGUCGCCUCCUUCAAUCUCUUCGGUUCAAUUCCACCAGCAUAUGCUUCUGCCGUUUCCCAGUUGGUGAAGGAGCUUCUGUGCAUCGCAUUCCUCUUCCAAUCUCACCUGAAGAUGCUGUUCUCUUCUGCUGCUUUAAGGUCUGACUGUAUGCUUUGAAAAGGGUACAAGAAAAGGCCAAGCUUCUCCAGAUUGUGCUCAAAAGCAAUGAACUAUUUGACUGGGGAAACUUGCUGUGAUCAUCCGGUUAGAGACAUCAGUGAAGAAGCAAGAAGAAUGGUUUCACGAGUUUGGGAUGUUCUGUUUUGAAUGAUUUAUAGGGAAGGUAAUUAUAGCGCUGAUUCUUUAUUUAAAUCAUUGAGGAAGCAUUGGUCUUUAGACCCUUGAGGUACCCCUCCCUUCAUUGAAAGGCUGGUGUUUGAUGAAAGUUCUGUUGAUGUUUUUUGUACUUUGGUGUUUCACCUUAAUUUAAUAUAAUGGCUUUCGAGGUUUAUUCAAAA